rnacentral:lncRNA from 1 species
GAAAAUGGCGCCGUUCUCAUGAGCGAGUAAAAUGUUUAUAGAUUUGUAUCAAAUUGACUUUUAUAUUUGCGACAAGUUGGAUUAAAAUUUUGUGGUUUUAAUAUAUAUUGAAUACAAGCAGUGGUACAUAAAUUAAUAUACUGAAAAGGCAAUGUAGUAAAGCGGAAUUGAUGCUAACAAAAAGCAAGAAAUCGGUGAGAAAUAUUUUUAAAUAUAGAAGGUGAGAAUUUAUUUAUCGAUAUCCUGGGAUACCUCUGCUGUAUAAAUGUAGAAUAUUAACUAAAUACAUGGUAAAUAUAGUAAUGAUAUUUAUCAAUGCACUAUUGAAAUGCAUGUAUUCACCUGUGUUAACUAGAACGUUUGAAUAUUUGCGAGCUUUGAGCAAAAUGUUGUUAAGAAUUUAUAGAUCAAAAUAUAGAUCUGUUAUGUACUUGCCAACAAUUUUUAUUUUAUAAUUUUUGUUUGAUGUUUAGGAAAUGUUUUACCUGUGGCAGAAAAUUUAAAUGGUGCCAUACAGGCAUAUACAGGGACAGUUGUCAAGAAAAUAUAUAAUUAAACAAGGUCAUAUUUGAAGAAUUUGGUGAAAGUGGCAUUUGUGAGUGACAAAGUUCAGGCAAAAGACAUAUUGGACAACAUGGAUGUACAUAAUUUUGCUGUUCAUUUAUUUCGUCAAGUCAAGAAAUGGCCGAACUACAGUCUGCAUAGUGUCAUGUUUGUAAUAUUUUCAAACAAGAUUCACCUGAUCACCACCCAACAAUGGCUUGUUGUUGGACUUCCGGGAACACCAGUAUUCUAGUUUAUAUUCAAAUGUUACUUGUUCGAACUAGUUUGCGUUAGAACAUUCACAAGGUACAGCAUCUAAUUAUUAUUAGUAUGUAAAAACUGAAGCAACAAUUUCAACACGAACACUCCAGGCAGGCACAUGUGAACAGGAAUAGAAUAAAAUUUGGAGG